UACGGAGGGUGCGAGCGUUGUCCGGAAUCACUGGGCGUAAAGGGCGCGUAGGCGGCCUGAUAAGUAGGGGGUGAAAUCCUGCGGCUUAACCGCAGGGCUGCCUUCUAAACUGUCAGGCUAGAGCACGGUAGAGGCAGAUGGAAUUCCGGGUGUAGCGGUGGAAUGCGUAGAGAUCCGGAAGAACACCGGUGGCGAAGGCGGUUAGCUGGGCAGUUGCUGACACUGAGGCGCGACAGCGUGGGGAGCAAACAGG
rnacentral:rRNA from 1 species